rfam:Gorilla gorilla gorilla genomic chromosome, chr2B, whole genome shotgun sequence
GCUGGGCAUGGUAGCACAUGCCUAUAGUCCCAUCACUCCAGAGGCUGAGGCAGGAGGAUCAUUGGAGCCCAGGAGUUUGAGGCUGCUGUGAGCUGUGCUAUGAUCAUGCCACUGCACUCCAGCCUGGGCAACNNNNNNNNNNGUUGCCCAGGCUGGAGUGCAGUGGCAUGAUCAUAGCACAGCUCACAGCAGCCUCAAACUCCUGGGCUCCAAUGAUCCUCCUGCCUCAG